AGCAGUGUGGCGUAGUGGUAAGGAGCAGGGCUUGUAACCGGAAGGUUGCUGGUUCGAUUCCUACCGAGGGCACUGCUG